UUUGACUAAUAAAAAUUUAUUAGGUUUUAAUUAAAUCAAUAAAACAUACAUAUUGAAAAUAUAAACUCUAAGAGAAAUCUGACUUGUUAACGAAGUGAAUUGAAAUAUCUUAGUAGCUUCAGGAAAAGAAAUCAAAAGAGAUUCUAUUAUUAACGUGAGCUAAAAUAGAACAGUCUAUAUAUUAAGUAAAACGGCUACAACUGUUUGAAUUAAUUGGGGGACCUUCCUCAAAGGCUAAAUAUAAUACAUGAGCGAUAGCAUACAAGUACCGUGAGGGAAGUGUUUUUUAGGAGUAAUUUUAUAAGCAGUUCAAGCGAAAGUAAGAACGUACCUUUUGCAUAAUGGGUCACCAAGUUAACAUUAGAUGCGAGCUAAAGCGUAGAUAAACCAAUCGUUAAAAUAACGAAAAGUGUCUAAAGUUAGACCCGAAGCCCGGUGAUUUUACCACAAUCAGGAUUAUAAAAGUCCGAACGGGUUAUCGUUGUAAAGAUAUCCGAGGAAUUGUGGUAGGUAGUGAAAGACAAUACUGACCGGGAUAGCUGGUUUUCUGCGAAACCUAUAACAGUAGGCAAUUCAAGAUAAUAUCUUAGCAGGUACAGAACUUAAUCUCAGACAAUAGAUGAUAAUAAUCAAAUAUUGUAUAUAUUGGGGGAUCGUGAAGAUUUUAUCAGAGAGUUUUAGACCUCGGAAGGGCAAAGAUGUAAUCUAAAGAAUCGGACAUAGUGCGAUAAGGUUGUAUGUCAAAAGGGAAACAGCCCAGAACAAGUGUUUAAGGUUCCAAAAUUAUUAUUAAGUGAAAAAAAGGAUGUAUGGUUCUACUACUAUCAGGAAAUAGGCUUAGAAGCGGCCAUUUUUUAAAGACCUCGUAACAGAGCACUGAUAUUUAAAUGAAAAUUUCAUUUUAAGAUAACAAACUCCGAAGAUAUAACGGAUCUAAAUAAUAUACCGAAACCUUGUUUAUUAAUAAUAAAAUAAAUGACAUAUAAUUAAUUAUUAUUAUAAGGUAGCGGAACGUUGGGUAAAUACGUAUAUAUAUGUAUAUGAAUAUAUAUAUAAUUGAAACAUAUAACAGGUAUAUCCCAAAUGAUAAUGCUGAUUAUGAGUAACGAAAAAGUUUUUAAUAACUCGCCUAAAGCUUAUGGAAAUAAAUUUUACUACGGCCUCUAAAUUUUUAAAUACCCAAAGGGUUAAAUGAUGAGUUCAAUAAAUUAUAUAAUAAUUUAAAAAUAUAUAAGAAAAAUAUUACACAUAAUCUGGAAAAAUAAUGUAUUAGUGUAUUUUUAUGUAUUAUAAGUUAUAUAAUUUAUUAUAUACCGUUCCUAGAUACUACCACCAGUAAGCGAGUAGAGAAUACGAAGGCGUUUGAGAUAAUAAUCAUUAAGGAACUCGGCAAAUUGACUCCGUAACUUAGGGAUAAGGUGGGCCAAUCCUUUUUAAUUAAGGAACAGGAGGCAUAGAAUGGUGUUGUACGACUGUUUAUUUAAAACACAGCACUUUGCAUAAGAUGGUAAAUCUAAGUAUUGAGUGUGAUUUCUGCCCUAUAUUGGUAGGUUAACUAAUUAUCUUAAUUUAAUUAAAUUAGGUAUAGAACGGAACCCCCAAUCAAUGGCGGCCUUACCUAUGAGGGUCUUAAGGUAGCGGAAUACCUUGGCCGUUAAAUGCGGUCUUGCAUGAAUGAUGUAACGAUACAACAGCUGUCUCAAUGAUUAGCUCAGUGAAAUUAUAAUAGCAGUGCAGAUACUGUUUACCACUAGUUAGACGAGAAGACCCUAUGCAGCUUUACUGUUACUAACUAUUAGGCUAUGUAUAAUAAAUUGUAGUGAAUAAGGUAAUCGUUUUCAUUAUUUUUUAUAAUGAAAAACUUAGAUAUAGGUGAAACACCUUUAUUUGUUUACAUAGUUAUUUAUUUCUAAAUUUUUAAAUGUAAUUAAUUACAAAUUAAAAAAUUAAGUUUUACAUUUGUUAGAAGACAGUUUAUGCGGGGCACAGAUCCCAUAAAUAGUACCUGGGUAUAUCCAAUGUUAAUUUGUAUAAAUUUAUACAUGUCAAUGUAUUAAAUAUAAUCAAGUUAAAUUUAAUGAGGUCUUAGAUUAAUCUAAUUCAUUUAUAUAUUCUUUAUUAAGAUUGAAUUUUUUUUAUUUUUAGUAAGAUUACAAUUAUUUGGAAAAUAAUUUUUUAUAUUAUAAUUAUACAUAUAUGUAUAUUAUUAUAAGCGUAUAUUUUAAUUAAAAUAUAUGAAAAUAUAAAUUUAGUUUAACGGCUUAAUCUUGCUUUACUGUUUGACUUACACGUCUUUCAGUCGCGUAAGCGGGGCAUAUGAAAACAAAACACAGCAAGGAAAGGUUUUGGAUUUAUGAAA
rnacentral:rRNA from 1 species